GCUCCAGCACAGCUGGAGCUUUUGCCAAGUGUAAAUAGCUUGGCGAAUAAGUGGUGGGCAAGACGGGUGCCAGCCGCCGCGGUAACACCUGCGCCACGAGUGGGGAUCGCAUUUAUUGGGCCUAAAGCGUUCGUAGCCGGAUAAGAUAGUCUUGAGUGAAAUCGUUGCGCUUAACAAAACGACGUGCUUGAGAUACUCCUUAUCUUGAGACCGGGAGGCGAUAGGGGUAUUCCGGAGGGAGCGGUAAAAUAUUCUGUAUGUCUAAUGCAUGCAGAUUUUACAGUGCUAUAAUCUCCGGAGGACCACCUGUGGCGAAGGCGUCUAUCGAGAACGGGUCUGACGGUGAGGAACGAAAGCUAGGGGAGCAAUCCGGAUUAGAUACAAAUGGAGCAGAAAUGCUCUAAUUUGCUAAUAACCCGAGUCGUCCUAGCCGUAAACGCUGUGAACUAGAUGCUGCGUAUCCUUCGGGGAUAGGCAGUGUCGACGCGAAGGCAUUAAGUUCACCGCCUGGGAAGUACGGUCGCAAGGCUGAAACUUAAAGGAAUUGGCGGGAGAGCACCACAAGGGGUGCGGCGUGCGGUUCAAUUUAACUCUACGCAGAGAAUCUCACCAGCAGCGACGGCAGGAUGAAGGUCAGAUUGAAUGUCUUACCUAACGAGCCGAGAGGUAUUGCAUGGCGGUCGCCAGCUCGUGCCGUAAGGUGUCCUCUUAAGUGAGGUAACGAGCGAGACUCAUGCCCAUAAUUGCCAGCGAGCUUUUCGAAGUGUUCGGGCACCUUAUGGGGACUGCCCUGGAAACAGGGAGGAAGGUGUGGGCCACGGUACGUCUGUAUGGUCCGAAUCUGCUGGGCUACACGCGCGCAACAAUGGCAAAGACAAUGGGAUGCCACGCCGAAAGGCGGAGCUAAACCUCUAAACUUUGUCCUAGUUCAGAUUGAGGGGUUGUAAUUCAUCCUCAUGACGUCGGAAUCCCUAGUAAUCGGUCUUCAUCACGGACCGGUGAAUAUGUCCCUG
rnacentral:rRNA from 1 species